GACCACAUAGCUCAGUUGGCAGAGCAUUGGGCUAGUAUCCCAAAGGUCGCGGGUUUGAUUCCCACCAUGGCCA
rnacentral:tRNA from 1 species